rnacentral:sRNA from 1 species
GGGAGAGGUGCCUUCUGUUAUCCACAGAACAGGCACAGCCCAGGCAGUGGAAAGGCAAACUUCCCACAUCCAAUGCCUUGCCAAUGUGCUACGCAUCUACCUGGAUGGACCACCACUAUGGGUGAGCGAGGCAGAAGCAAAGGCUCAUUUAUUACUUUGGACUUU